CCAACAACAACAACUACAGUCCCUACUAACACAACUGCACCACUUACUACUACAACUGCAGCUCCAACUACAAUUUUCAGUACAACCACUUCAACCCAAGGCCUGACAACUAUGGCACAUCUAAAAUUCAAGAUGACCUCCUAUGGUGAACUCAGCAAUGGAACCAUCACUGACCUUAUUGACCAGCUUUUUAGAGACCAGCUCCUGAAUGGAAAACCUUUUACAAUCACAGUGAGAAGAAUUCAAAGAUCCAGAGUCGACCCCUAGAGGCUUCACAUGGACAGAAUCAUCCUGACAGCAUGAAUGUGACAGCAUCAGGACAGCAAGCCAGAGUUAGUCAUAUUGUAUAUGUGCUGGUGCCACUGUUUUAACCCAGUUCAAACAUAGAGGCUCAGAAUCUAUAGCCGACAGUCCAUUCUUUCACUUCAACGUCAUCUUUUUCAAAUUCCAUGAUCCACAGCGCUUCUGAAAUGGGUCGACAACAUUAAGAUUAACUUUCACUUGCUGUUCUGAUUAGCAAACUGCAUUUCUGAUAUCAGCCGUGGUUACCACAUUGUAAUCAUCGGCAGUGUGUGUUUGUCUGUUCAUUUAAUCAUAUGAGAAAUUCCAGCUAAGCAGUGUGACCGGUUAGAGAAGUAUACCCAUGUGUUAGAGCAACAGAACUGGCAGCUGACACUUACGG